rnacentral:rRNA from 1 species
AUUGAACGCUGGCUGCGGGCCUAACACAUGCAAGUCGAGCGAGCGGCGGAUGGGUGUGUUGUGCCUGGGAAUUGCCCAGUCGAGUGGGCGAAGAGUUGGAAACGGCUACUACUACCGCAUACUACUGGAUUGCCAAGGGGGGAUUAGCUAGUUGGUGAGGUAAUGGCUCACCAAGGCGACGAUCCAUAGCUGGUCUGAGCGGAUGGUCAGCCACCCUGGAACGUAGACACGGUCCAGACUCCGACGGGAGGCAGCAGGGGGGAAUAUUGCACAAUGUGGGAAACGCUGAUGCAGCAACGCCGCGUGUGUGAAGAAGGCCUUCGGGUUGUAAAGCACUUUCAGCGAGGAGGCGGUACUCGCAGAAGAAGAACCGGCUAACUCCGUGCCAGCAGCCGCGGUAAUUC